GACGAACGCUGGCGGCGUGCCUAAUACAUGCAAGUAGAACGCUGAAGGAGGAGCUUGCUUCUCUGGAUGAGUUGCGAACGGGUGAGUAACGCGUAGGUAACCUGCCUGGUAGCGGGGGAUAACUAUUGGAAACGAUAGCUAAUACCGCAUAAGAGUAGAUGUUGCAUGACAUUUGCUUAAAAGGUGCAAUUGCAUCACUACCAGAUGGACCUGCGUUGUAUUAGCUAGUUGGUGGGGUAACGGCUCACCAAGGCGACGAUACAUAGCCGACCUGGGAGGGGGAUCGGCCACACUGGGACUGAGACACGGCCCAGACUCCUACGGGAGGCAGCAGUAGGGAAUCUUCGGCAAUGGACGGAAGUCUGACCGAGCAACGCCGCGUGAGUGAAGAAGGUUGUCGGAUCGUAAAGCUCUGUUGUAAGAGAAGAACGAGUGUGAGAGUGGAAAGUUCACACUGUGACGGUAUCUUACCAGAAAGGGACGGCUAACUACGUG
rnacentral:rRNA from 1 species